UACGUAGGUGGCAAGCGUUGUCCGGAAUUAUUGGGCGUAAAGCGCGCGCAGGCGGUCCUUUAAGUCUGAUGUGAAAGCCCACGGCUCAACCGUGGAGGGUCAUUGGAAACUGGGGGACUUGAGUGCAGGAGAGAAGAGUGGAAUUCCACGUGUAGCGGUGAAAUGCGUAGAUAUCGGGAGGAACACCAGUGGCGAAGGCGAUCACCUGGGGUUGUUCUGACGCUGAGGAGCGAAAGCUAGGGGAGCAAACGGG
rnacentral:rRNA from 1 species